GUGGGGAAUAUUGCACAAUGGGCGAAAGCCUGAUGCAGCCAUGCCGCGUGUAUGAAGAAGGCCUUCGGGUUGUAAAGUACUUUCAGCGGGGAGGAAGGCGAUAAGGUUAAUAACCUUGUCGAUUGACGUUACCCGCAGAAGAAGCACCGGCUAACUCCGUGCCAGCAGCCGCGGUAAUACGGAGGGUGCAAGCGUUAAUCGGAAUUACUGGGCGUAAAGCGCACGCAGGCGGUCUGUCAAGUCGGAUGUGAAAUCCCCGGGCUCAACCUGGGAACUGCAUUCGAAACUGGCAGGCUAGAGUCUUGUAGAGGGGGGUAGAAUUCCAGGUGUAGCGGUGAAAUGCGUAGAGAUCUGGAGGAAUACCGGUGGCGAAGGCGGCCCCCUGGACAAAGACUGACGCUCAGGUGCGAAAGCGUGGGGAGCAAACAGGAUUAGAAACCCGGGUAGUCC
rnacentral:rRNA from 1 species